ensembl:lncRNA
UUUCAGUUACUGGAUUAAAUAUCUAAGUGCAGAUUGUAGUGUAAUGUAUAUGUAUGGCAUAAAUACAAACCAUAUUUGGAGUAAACAUCCCAUGCAAUCAGACAUACAAGCAGCAUAUAUAAAGCAGCAGUUAAGGCAGCACUGUUUUCCUGAUUGUCACAAUCCUGUUGGGAAUACUAGCUGGAAUUGUUAAGCCUUUAAUGUAAAUAAAUAAACCCCACAAAAGCCAGAACAUGUAAAUGUUUCAUGUAUGGCCAUCACACUUACAUAAUAACUGUCUUUUAUGUCAUUAGUAACCCCAAUGGAGCAAAAAGGACAACAAGAGUACAAAAUCACAGAAAAAAAUAUACAUUUUGAAAACAUUUUGCAAUAACACACCGCCUUUAGGUUUUGACUAUAAGUGAAAGAAUGCCGGUACAGAUGCGUGUGUCAUAGCCAUGGUGAGCCGGGGGAGAGAGCGUCAGGAGCCUCCACCUAGGCAGCCACCCACAGUAUGGACAGGCUACUGCUGCCUGACUCAUGGGCAAUCUGAUUGAUACGGCCGCGCACACAGUCCACCGUCACAAACACCGCCGUGCCGUUACGCACCUGGAACGAAGCCCGCAACGCCACGCUGGCCCACUGGCUGCCCUCGGGCAUCUGCCCGCCCACCUGCUGGGCCAGGGGCUCGCUCUUAGCGCCCGCCGGACUCUCCGUCUGCGCCCGCCGGUGCAGCGUGAGGCGCAGCAUGCUGCAGGAGUGGAUGAGCCGCAGCUCCAGGGCCACGCUGGCCGAGCCGGCCUUCCGGAAGAGCAGGUCCCGCUGCGGGUGAGCGUCCCGGGCUCCGCUGAUCUCCAGCUGCUCGGCGCGGGCGGAGGUCUGGUGGAAGUAGAGGGCUCUGUUGCGCACGGCGCCGGACGGCAGGCUUUUGGAGGAGACGGAGGCGGCCAGCGAGGCCGAGCUGGCGCGCGGCACCCACAGCAGGCUGAGCAUGCUGAUGCCCGAGUCGUCGCCGAAGUAGCGCACGUUGCACUGCGCCGGCGCCAGGAUCUCGAAGGUGAGCGCGUCGCCGGCGUGGACGGUCGCCGCCGCCGACAGCGAGACGGAGGUGUCGCGGUAGUGCACGCCGUGGUGGUAGGCGCGCGCCAGCUCCAUGCUGGAGCUGUUGCGGAUGAUGUACGCCAGGAGGGUGAAGCCCUCGCUCACGCACGUCUGCCCCAUGGAGUACACCGCCUGCUGGAGCACGAACCGCAGCGAGCCGCUCUCGGCGAAGCGCACGCCCCUCUCGUCGUGCGUCAGCGCCACCACGUACGGGUCGGACACGGACGUGGUGCGGAAGGUGGGCCUGUAGUUGGUGUGGUAGUGGGCCGAGGCCACGGCCUGCGCGCUCAUGGCCACGGCGCCGGUGUCGUGCGACAGCCAGAGCAGGCUGAGCGGCGCGCCGGCGCCAGCGUGGAGGUGCAGCCGCUCGCUGCCGUCGGCACUGCAGUGGUGGCUGGCACUGCGCAGCUGCAGGACCAGCGCCUGGCCGGCCUCCACGGCGCUCGCCGCGCUCACGCUGGCGCUUUGCAGGGCCUUGCCCUCGCGUUGCUCCACACGCACCCCGCUCAGGUCGCGCCCCUCGUCCUGGUGCCCCCCCUCCCCUGCAGCCCCCUCCCCUGCAGCCCCCUCCCCUGCAGCCCCCCCGCUGGUGUUCAGGCGCAGGCAGGCCUGCACGAAGCUGCGGCAGCCGUGCCUCAGGGCCAGGUUGUAGUCGGCCCACACCAGGCCGUGCUGCCGCAUCCCCAGCUGCCCGCCGGCGCACGUCAGCAGCUCGCUCUCACAGCCGUCGGCCUUCGCUUGGAUCUUCAGCUGCAUGCUGGGAAAGGCAUGGCCGUGCGGGGCUUCGGAAGGGGGCAGGACAACGUCGCCGGCCCAGGACAGCGAGAGCUGACCGGCGCCCUCCGAGGGGGUGGAGCAAACGGUGUCACGCAGAGACGAGCAGGGCGUGGCCACGGGGGUGUGGUCGCAGUCGG